rnacentral:rRNA from 1 species
UACGGAGGGUGCAAGCGUUAUCCGGAUUCACUGGGUUUAAAGGGUGCGUAGGCGGGCAGGUAAGUCAGUGGUGAAAUCUUCGAGCUUAACUCGGAAACUGCCGUUGAUACUAUCUGUCUUGAAUACUCGGGAGGUGAGCGGAAUAUGUCAUGUAGCGGUGAAAUGCUUAGAUAUGACAUAGAACACCAAUUGCGAAGGCAGCUCACUACAGAGUCAUUGACGCUGAGGCACGAAAGCGUGGGGAGCAAACAGG